rnacentral:rRNA from 1 species
UAAUACGGAGGGUGCAAGCGUUAUCCGGAUUCACUGGGUUUAAAGGGUGCGUAGGUGGGUUGGUAAGUCAGUGGUGAAAUCUCCGAGCUUAACUUGGAAACUGCCGUUGAUACUAUCAAUCUUGAAUAUCGCGUAGGUAAGCGGAAUAUGUCAUGUAGCGGUGAAAUGCUUAGAUAUGACAUAGAACACCAAUUGCGAAGGCAGCUUACUUCACGAUCAUUGACACUGAGGCACGAAAGCGUGGGGAGCAAACAGGAUUAGAUACCCUGGUAGUCCACGCCCUAAACGAUGGAUACUCGACAUUAGCGAUACACUGUUAGUGUCUGAGCGAAAGCAUUAAGUAUCCCACCUGGGAAGUACGACCGCAAGGUUG